rnacentral:rRNA from 1 species
AUGGAGAGAUACUUCGUCGCCUCCCCCUUCCAGACCGCCGUCGUCACUCGCGCCAGCGCCUGCUACGCCCCCUGGGUUCUCCUCGACACGAAGGCCUACUUCGCCGUCCGUGAGAACGCCACGACCGCCGAAGCUGUGACCAGCACCGGCAAGGCAUUCAAGGUCACCUUCUGCCUGGCCGACCCGCCGGCCAUCUCCCACUUCUGCGUCCAUGGCCCCGAGUUCCAGCGCGACGACUUAACGCCCGAGCCCCUGGUCGUCUUCUCUUCCAAGUACUUGGUGCUCCUCCGCUUUAUUUCCGGGAGAACCCGUUCUGGAUCUCGGCUCGAGGAGUACUUCGUCUACAAGGCCGACCACAGCAAGCCGUCGCUCACACUGAUCCCGCGUACUCCUCCGGGCACCACAAACUCGUUAAGCCUGUGCGUCCUGCCAUUCGACGACUAUGAUGGGGGAUUUGUCGUCGCAGAUCUCUGCAAGACACUAGUGUCCCCGUCAGACUACAAGCUCCACGUCUUCUCUUCCAGAACAGGCAAGUGGGCCACUACGCCUUUGCGGUUGCAAACAUAUGCACCCUUGAGCCUGACGGGCGCAGCGUCGCCCGAACGGGCGCGCCGGCGAUGCGCGGCUGCGGCCGGAGGGGAGGCGCGGCCAGGGGCGGUGCAAGGCGCCUGGGGGGCGCGUCGGAGGCGGGCGACUGCCGAGGGGGCGUGGCCACGGGUGGCCACGUGCGGGGUGCUGGCGCGGGGCACGACGAACAGCCAGCGAGCACGGCAGGCGGAGCGCGUAGGCGCGGCGAGCGCGGCCGGUGCAGGCAUGUGCGGCGGCGGUAGCGGGGCGCAGUAG